GGUGGCUCAGUGGUAGAGCUCUUGCCUUGAAUGCAUGAGGUUCUGGGUUUGAUUCCUCAGCACCA
rfam:Dipodomys ordii contig_88743, whole genome shotgun sequence.